rnacentral:rRNA from 1 species
AACGCUAGCGGCAUGCUUAACACAUGCAAGUCGAGGGGUAAGGUCUACUUCGAGUGCGAUACACGACCGGCGAAUGGGUGAAUCACACGUAUGCUACUUACCUUCAUGCUGUCAGAAUAGCUCCGGGAAACCGGAAUUAAUACUCCAUAGCAUAUUAAACACACAUGUACACAAUAUCGAAUCUCACGCGGUUAAAGAUGGGCAUGCGACGCAUUAGUCCCUCGGCUGGGUAGCGGCCUACCAAGACAGCAAUGCCUAAGGGGUCUGAGAGGAUGAUCCCCCACACUGGCACUCAGACACGGGCCAAACUCCUACGGGACGCAGCAUCUGACGAAUAUCGGGCAAUGGGCGAUAAUCUUGACCCAACCAUGCCGUGUGCCGGAUGACUGUCCUAUGGAGUCGUCGAGCUGCUUGUCUAGCGGGAAUAUUCCCCCCGUUCUUCUGGGGUUGACGGCACCGUAUGAAUCCCGGUCUGCUUACUCCGUGCCAGCCGCCGCGGUUCUUCGGAGGCCCCGAUUGUCCAUCCGUGAUUUACUGGUUUUAGAGGGUUCGCCGGCGGGAAUAGUUCGUCUAUGGUGAACGGCUGACAUCUCCAACUGUAUUAAUUUGCCAUUGAUACUGCUAUUCUUUGACUGCAGACUAAGCGAACGGACUGUGUUAUGUAUCGGUGACAUGCAUAUAUAUCACACAGCACACCGAUAGCGUAAGCAGCUCGCUAGCCUGUAACCGACGGCUGAGGCACGAAAGCACGGGAAUCGAACAGGAGUAGAUACCCUGGUAGUCCACGCUGUAAACGAUGAUCACU